UAAGAGCGAUAUAUAUACAGAGAAAAUAAAUUUAGAGAGAGAAAGUGUGUGAGAGAGAGAGAGAGAGAGAUUACAGAGAUUCGUCUUCAGCUCUUCUUCUUCUUCUUCUUCGAUCUGUGUUCGCGUUCGAGCCUUUUUCUACGUGUCGAAUUCGAAAGCUUCUGCGAUUCGCUCGCUCGUCGAUCUACCGACUCAGCCUUUCGAUUUCUCG
rnacentral:lncRNA from 1 species